rnacentral:rRNA from 1 species
AUUGAACGCUGGCGGCAGGCCUAACACAUGCAAGUCGAGCGGAUGAUGAGGGCUUGCUCUCUGAUUUAGCGGCGGACGGGUGAGUAAUGCCUAGGAAUCUGCCUGGUAGUGGGGGAUAACGUUCCGAAAGGAACGCUAAUACCGCAUACGUCCUACGGGAGAAAGCAGGGGACCUUCGGGCCUUGCGCUAUCAGAUGAGCCUAGGUCGGAUUAGCUAGUUGGUGAGGUAAUGGCUCACCAAGGCGACGAUCCGUAACUGGUCUGAGAGGAUGGUCAGAAACAGUGGAACUGAGACACGGUCCAGACUCCUACGGGAGGCAGCAGUGGGGAAUAUUGGACAAUGUGCGAAAGCCUGAUCCAGCCAUGCCGCGUGUGUGAAGAAGGUCUUCGGAUUGUAAAGCACUUUAAGUUGGGAGGAAGGGCAGUAAGUUAAUACCUUGCUGUUUUGACGUUACCGACAGAAUAAGCACCGGCUAACUUCGUGCCAGCCGCCGCAGUAAUAC